rnacentral:lncRNA from 1 species
AAUGAUCACACAUCUGAAUUUGCGACCAUUUUUUUACAAAAAAGUGCGAUCAUUAUGCGGGUAAAUACAGUACUCUUGUGACACCAAGCUCACUUGUUUUAAUGCAGGUGUGGCUGGGCCUGCAGAAAAGCUGUAAGCAGACUGCAGUGUUGCUGAUCAGUGCUGAUCUCCACGUCCGAGUUGGUCCCACAAUAUCCAGGCACCACGGUGCUUUCACAAGAGGCAUACGAGCACUUUGUUUCAAAAACGCCAAGCACCGUGGAUACAGAGGCAAGGAGGCUGAAGGACCUGAACAAGCACCUGGCCACCAUGCUUCGGGAUGCAAAAUAAAGAUGGUUUGUGUUAA